rnacentral:rRNA from 1 species
GACAGAGGGUGCUAGCGUUGUUCGGAAUUACUGGGCGUAAAGGGCGCGUAGGCGGUCUGUUAAGUUCGGUGUGAAAUCCCCUGGCUCAACUGGGGAACUGCGCUGGAAACUGGCAGACUCGAGUACCGGAGAGGAGAGUGGAAUUCCUGGUGUAGCGGUGAAAUGCGCAGAUAUCAGGAGGAACACCGGUGGCGAAGGCGGGUCUCUGGGCAACAACUGACGCUGGAGGAAGCGAAAGCGUGGGGAGCGAACAGGA